rnacentral:rRNA from 1 species
UACGUAGGGACCAAGCGUUGUUCGGAUUUACUGGGCGUAAAGGGCGCGUAGGCGGCAAUUCAAGUCAGCUGUGAAAUCUCCGGGCUUAACUCGGAACGGUCAGCUGAUACUGCUUUGCUAGAGUGCAGAAGGGGCAAUCGGAAUUCUUGGUGUAGCGGUGAAAUGCGUAGAUAUCAAGAGGAACACCGGAGGCGAAAGCGGUGUACUGGGGCUGGUCUGACGCUGAGGCACGAAAGCUAGGGGGAGCAAACAGG